ACCCUGAUGGGGCAGAGGCGACGCUGGGAAAAAGGGUCCUGCCACUUAGAGCCUGAGAGCGUGUGGCCACUGCCAGAGCAAGUGUCCAACCUGCAGCAUCCCUGCAGCACAGGGAAGCAAGCAACAAUUUGAUAUAUUUUGUCCUCCAACACCAACUGUGUAUGUGAGCUGUUUCCACAAAACAAUCAAUAUUAAUCGUCUUUACUGUCUAAUAUAUCAUUGAAAUCACUCCAAAUUUCUCUUCACUUAAAAAGUAUGUCAUUUGUUCUAUGCAUCAUCUCUUCAAAAGAAGCAUGGUCCCCUAUACACAAGAAACAAUCUUUCGUUAUUGGUGACCAGGGAUUUUUCCAUUGAUGAAGCGCAGAAUAUUGAUGCUGCUAUCCAUUUUUUCUGAGGGGUUCUCACAUUAGAUAGCACUGAAAUCAUGCAGCAGAAUAAAGUUUGGAUGACCUUAUUAUUACUGCACCUGACCUGCUUUUAUUGUUAUCUGAAUGACAUUAUUCCAGAAUGUCUGCAUGUGUGGACAAGACAAAAAUCACACACAAUAUUACUGUGACAGGGUGCACCCACCCCACAUUAGACUAGGAAGGGUUAACUCUGUAUUGUGGGCUGAGGAAGCCACACCCACCAACCCCUACUGGACAUGCUCCAAAUGUAGCAGUGGUAUAACAGGGAGCAGCUCAGCUCAGUCUGGGCUGACAGUCGAAGAUGAAAGAUGCUCGCUGCAGGUUCCAGCCCAGGAAGCACCAGAGGCUCCAACAGCAGGAGCCAGGAAUGCUGAGACCCAGGCGGAGACCCAGAAACCACUGGACGUUCAGGAGAACCCAGGAUCGCUGGGAGCCAUCAACGCCGACGAGUCUGGAGACCCUGGAGGUGUCCGGACCAUGACUACAAAGGACAAGCACUUAGGAACCCCAAUCAUGGAUCAGGAUUCCACUGUGCUAGGCACUGCACAAACACAGUUCAAAAAGAGCUGCCAAUCUAAGUAGAAGACAAGAGACAACAGAAGGAUCAAACACACAGUGGUGCACAAGGUGGCUGUGGACUGGAAGCUACUCCUGAAGUACGUGUAAAUACAUUUGGACAAAUUCAUCCUCCAUCCAGAUGGUUCCAUGUAUGUCCUGUCGAUGAAGACCUCAUACACUUGGAUGCUACGCAGAUGAGCCAUCUUCUCCUCCUUUUACCUGCUUCCUAAGGGACUCCACCACCAAGCACCUCUCACACCUGGUGUUCCCCCUGGCUGACAUUCAUCAGUGGGGACAUGCAGGCCACAUUCUCAGCAAGUCAAGACUAGGGCCUUUGUGGACACUCCAGAGUCAGGAUGCCUGUCUGGCAGAAGGCCCCACAGUACAACAAGAUGAAAUUUGUAAGGGAAGAACAUUACAUAGGCAAGCACAGAGAAACAGAGGUAGUGGAAUAAUGCAACAGUUCCUGAAAGCUGUUCCACCUGAGCACUGUGCAGGGACAUCUUGGAGUGGAACAAGAUUAUUCAGUCCAACAACAUCUGGAAGGGGUGGUCAAUAAGAGAGGCUGAAGGACUACACAGAGCAAAAGGCAGUUAUUUGAGAGGACCAGGAUCAGAACUAGACUGGGUAUGCUAGCAGGGUUGUAGCAUAGUUUCUUUUCCUGACCAGCAUGGAUCAAGACGUAUUCCCAAUAUUGUAUAGCACCGAUGGAGCAAGACUUUUGUUAGACCAAUGGAAAGAGGAUUCCUUGACAUUCUUAGUGCAAACAAGCCCAUGUGGUCUCAAAUAUGGAUUUAUAUGGUUCGCAUUCAGAAAAUCCCUGUUGUCCUCGCUAGUGAAGCAAACAGGGCUAAAAUUCUGGUAGCAGCUGAUAUGUUUAAAUAUGAUUGUGGCUAGCAUGGGCCUGAUCCCAGUAUGGUUAGGACCUAAAUGUUUUCUGGAUCUGUAAGAAAAUACCCCAACUUGCACAAUAUCAAUGAGUUAUGAUCUGAAAUAUGGGGUACGUCUAUGCUGCAAUCAGGAGGUGUGAUUACAGCACAUGUAGAUAUAGCUGAGCUAGCUAGAUCAAAACUAGCUCAAGUAAUAGUAGCAGUGAAGUGGCAGCAGCAUGAGUGGCAGUACGGGUUUCAAUACAAGCUAACACCACCUGCCCAGGAAUGUGGGUACAUACUCGAGUGGCCACCAUGCAUGCUGCUAUAGUUCCAUUGCUAUGGUUACUCAACCUAGCUUUGAUCUAGCUAGCUCAGCUACUGUAAUCACACCUCUUGAUUGCAGUAUAGCCAGACAGACAGAAACAUGUCAGUUUAUAUCAACUUAAUCUAAAACUGAAAAUUAAUUGGGGGAGCUGUUUGAGAAGUCCAAGACUGGUGACUCAGGGAGCAAACAUUGAUUGCUAUUCAGCACCACAGGUGAAAAGUAGGUCAGUAAGGCCUGGGGCCACACAUUGAAUGAGAAAGAUAAAAAGAAAUAUUAAAUAGCUGCUUCAUGCCCUGAGCACCAUCUGCCCUCUGCAGGAAAAGAGUAGCAUGUGAUCAUGUAAUUAAAUACUAUAGCAUAAUGCAUUCAAACAAGGGGGCAGAGUUAAGGUUGCACAGACAAAAUUCAGGCUAUUUCCUAAUGUUGAGUGCUAGACUUUGCAACCUAAAUAACUUUCUUUUAAAUAUUUUAAUUUGUAUAUAUCUAUAAAACAUAUAUGUAUGAAUACAAAAUGGACACAUUCCUUAUCAGUAGCCCAUACAUUUGAAUACCACUAUUUUAAUUCACAAAAAUAGGUCAUUGUAACAGCAAAUGUUCUGUCAUGCUAUAGCUGAGGAAUCUUUAGGGGAACAGAGAGCCUACAGAUAUAUUAAACAAAGUGAAGCCAGACUUCUGGCAAAGAAAUUGUACUAGGUUUGAGGAGAUUAGUUAAAGAAAGAGGUAAGAGCUAAGGAAACUAGCAGAUGCUGAAGGGCAAUCAGGUCAUACAAAGAGAUCUGCCAGAGAUAUGAAUAACACAAGGCAACUACUUCUCCUGUAGGAGAUCAGAGGACAGAAAUUACAGCUGCUUUAGAGGAGGGAAAAAAAUGAGCUCACAGGUAUACAUAAUAGGAUGUCAAUUAAAAAUCAUUUAAAAUAGGCAUAUAUUGAAACCAAAAUUAUCUUCAUAUUGGUCACUUGCUAUGUAUAAUAUUGCUGGGGGGAGUGGCAUUUUGGUACCAAGUUCUCUGGAAUCUUGUGCCUUGGGGUAUCUGAACUCCGAGGAAAGUGAUAGAGGUAAUUGGAUGCUAGUUCAACUUGUGCUGAUGGCAAUUUGUAGGAAAUGGGGGGUUGGGAGGACAACACUCCAUUCAUGUUGGAAUGGGUUUAACCAGUCCUGGGAUCUUGUGACUGUAAAUCUGUGCUGCUAUUUGCUGAUAAAGCACACUGAUUUGCUCACUGACUGUUGGCUCUUUUCUGAAACACUUCAGCAAAAAUCUUGUAAAUUGGACUGUUUUAUAAAGUAAUCUAAUCUGGGGCAAGGUAAAAUUUACCAUUCUCCACCUUCUUUCUUUUAUUCAUUUCUUCCUUUUCCCUCUUCUUUUCUGAGCUCUGUAAUAUCGAACAACAAUAAAAUAUUCGCUGCCAUAACUGAUAUUUUUACUGUGUUAAAGUAAAAAACCUUUCAAAUUGUAUUUUGCAUUGAGCCUACCUUUGAAUCGGUGCAUUUUAUCAUUCACAUAAUUACAAACAAAUAAACAAACCCAGUACUGACCUGUUUCUCUUAUCAGGCUGUUAUACACUGGCAUAACUCCAUAAACUUCCGUGGAAUUAAUCUUGAUAUACACUGUUGUGAGAGCAAAAUAAGGCCUUGUAAAUGUCUAUAUCCCAAUGCAAAAGGCUUAAAAGUGAAAGCAUUUGAGCUAGAAGGCUUGAGAACAGAUGAGAAUGUAGGUAUAAAAGACAUUUUUGGGGGAAACAGUGGAUGGUAUUAAUCAGUGGGCUAAUGUAAUACCUGUGUACAGACAGGACGGAAGUUUAGGAGCUAAUGAUACUGAUCUCCUUUGUAGAGCACUUUGAGAUCUACUGAUGCAAAGCAGAAUGGAAGAGCUAGGUAUUAUUAUUAUUAUUUUAUUAUGGUGCCAGCCUAAGGAGCAGGAAGGUGAUAGUGAUCCAGAGUUUGAUACCCUGCACAGUACCUUAUUUUAUAAGUAGUCCUCCUCAAAUCGCUGAAGUCAAUCUGACUAUUUAUGAAGUGAGAUGCUACUCAGUCUGAUGAAAGUGUAUCAGAAUCUGGCCCAGUGAAUUUACUAUGGGGCAAUCAGAUUAGCCACAAAAUAUAUUUAAACAGUAA